GACAGAGGGUGCAAACGUUGUUCGGAAUUACUGGGCGUAAAGCGCGUGUAGGCGGCUUGGAUAGUCGGGUGUGAAAGCCCGGGGCUCAACCCCGGAAGUGCAUUCGAUACUGCCAAGCUGGAGUCCCGGAGAGGAUGGUGGAACUCUCGGUGUAGAGGUGAAAUUCGUAGAUAUCGAGAAGAACAUCGGUGGCGAAGGCGGCCAUCUGGACGGUGACUGACGCUGAGACGCGAAAGCGUGGGGAGCAAACAGG
rnacentral:rRNA from 1 species